CGAGGGAUCCUAGCGUUGUUCGGAAUCAUUGGGCGUAAAGAGUAUGUAGGCGGCCUAGUAAGUCAGUUGUGAAAGCCCCGGGCUCAACCCGGGAAGCGCAAUUGAUACUGCUUGGCUUGAAUGUGGAAGAGGGCAGUAGAAUUCCAGGUGUAGUGGUGAAAUACGUAGAUAUCUGGAGGAAUACCGGUGGCGAAGGCGGCUGCCUGGUCCUACAUUGACGCUGAGAUACGAAAGCGUGGGGAGCAAACAGGAUUAGAUACCCUGGUAGUCCACGCCGUAAACGAUGAACACUUGUUGUUGGAGGUAUUGACCCCUUCAGUGACGAAGCUAACGCGUUAAGUGUUCCGCCUAGGGAGUACGGUCGCAAGAUUA
rnacentral:rRNA from 1 species